UGUUUGUUUCUUUGUAUUCCGUUGUUUGUUUCUUUGUCAAAGAAACAAACAACGGAAUACAAAACAAAGAAACAAACA
rnacentral:pre_miRNA from 1 species